rnacentral:rRNA from 1 species
UGGAAGUUUGGCUCUGGCUUGUUUGUAUAAUGUAGACUAUGAAAUACACAUGGUUUUUUUAGAAUGAGGCGAGGAAAGGAAAAGAAGUAUGUGUACUGAUAAAAAGUAAGUACAAAUAUAUUUUCUGUGGUGUUGUUAAUAAAUAUGCCUUGAAAGGUCCCGCUAACUCCAGUGUUUAAGAUUAAGUGAAAAGCGAAAGCUUGUAUUAGCUUAGUCUAAUAUGUCUGGUCAAUUUAGUGCCAGCAUCCGCGGUUAAACUAAGAGACAAAGUUAUACAUAAAUAGGUUAAAAGGCAGUUAGGUGAAAAAUCAAUUUAUAGUAUAUUAAUUUUAUGUGUAAAGGUGAAAUUUGAAUACAUACUAAAAGACCAACAGUUACUAAAAUACUGAGUCUGCGACAGCCUUGAGGGAAACUGGGAUUAGAUACCCCAUUAUUCAAGGCCAUAAAUUAAUGUAGAUUUACCAGAGUACUACGAAUAAAAAGUUUAAAACUCAAAGGGCUUGGCGGUGUUUUAGACUAAUUAGGGGAACCUGUCUCAUGAUCGAUAAUCCACGCUAUACCUGAUCUUUCUUAGCAAUUCAGUCUGUAUACCGUUGUCUGAAGGUAACUUUUAAGAAUUCAUAAGUUAGCGAGUAAAUUAUUAAGUUAAUACGUCAAAUCAAGGUGCAGUCUAUAGAAAGAUGAAGAUGGGUUACAAUUAUUAUAUUUAUAAAACGGAUAAAUGUAUUAAUAUAUAUUUUGAAGGUGGACUUGAAAGUAAAAAAGAAUAUAUAAACAUUUUGAAUACAGCUCUGAAACGUGUACAUAUCGCCCGUCACUCUCGUUGAAAAAGGAGAUAAGUCGUAACAUAGCAGGGGUAAUGGAAAUUGUUCCUAGACUAAG